CAGGCAGCGUGACUUCGGGCGACGUUUGCAGGAAACGACCCAUCCUUGCCUCUCUCCCCUGAAAUUGCCCCCUGGGGUUAAGCCUUGCCCUCUCCUUCCAGUCGACUCCCAGACCCAAAGUCCAGAAGGGCGCCACACCCUCCCUGUGCACUGACCUGCGGGGCAGCAGCUCUAGGGGUGGCGACCGCAGCCCUCCGGCCACGGCGCGGGGCGGGGGAGUCGGCAUGGGUAGACCACUGCCUGACUUCCCCUCCCCUCCCGCAUGCUUCCCGGUCACCUGGCAGACUGUCCCCAGCUCAGAACAAGCCCACCUGCCUCCCUGCUAGUGGCCGGGCUGGGCUGGCAAUUCCUGCCUCUCUGCACCCGCCAACAUCCGGGCUGCCGUUGUGCUUUGAAUCCCAGCAAAGCUGCCCUGUGGCCAACACAGACGAUCUGGCAGGAGUCCAAGACUUCUGGGUUAGAACCCCAGCUUGCAAUGCACCACCGAGCAAUACUUUGUCAUGCAUUCAUCCAGCAAAUUCUUGAUCAAUAUUCACCCCACUGCUGCGGGCCAGGCUCUGCGCUAGAAGCACAGGCACAGCACUGAGCGAGGUGCACGGGGUCCCUGCUUUCUUCUUCUGGGAGAGACGGACAACAAGCAAAUGAGCAAACGGCAGGUGGUGAUUGCUCUGCCCAUAAGAUGCCUAUUCAUUACAAAGAAAAAAAUAGCAACACAGUACAGAAACCUGGCAGACAGCACCGUCACCAAGUGAUCAAAGUAAACACCAC